rnacentral:lncRNA from 1 species
GUUGGGUCCAUUUCCUGUCAGGUCAACACUGUUUUGGCUCUGAUCUGACCUGACAAGAGGCAGCCAAUAUAAUAUUUAGCAGGCAAAACAGAAAGUAGCUGCUGAGACCACAAAGAUCCUAUCCUUUCUCCAACCAACUCAUCAAACACUUCCUGUGACAUUUUCCUUAAAGCCACAUAAGACAAACUAAACUACAUCCUCAUCUGCAGGAAAUGUCUUUCUAUAGCAGAACCAUCAGCAUGUUGCAUGUAUUCAUUGCAACCUGUUUCGCAUUUCAUUGGGAUGAAAUGCAACAGUACCCUCUUUUUUUGCAUAAAUUUCAAAGUCAUUUUCUCAACUGAAUAUAAACUGCAUAUUUGUGUUUCAUUUUUCAUGUACUUCUGCAUGUGUAAGACUUCUUUUUGCACCUUAUGUCAUGAUUUUGCUGGUUUUGGACACAUUUAUGGUUCAGUGGAACCCCCCCCCCCCCCCCCUUUUUUUUUUUUUUUUUUACAGAGUUGGGCAGCUCCUCAGCAGCACUGGCUCCUCCUGCACCUCCACACCUACAUCUGAUCACCAAAUCACCACCUGCUCUUAGGCUCAGCUCUGAAGACUGCUCAUCGCCAGAUUAUUCCUGCUCUCACAGUGGUAUCACGGCCAACUCUUUCUAGUAUUGAGAACUUAGAAUGUUCUAGUGAAUGUUUGCAAGUUACUAGUCCCAGCUGUCCUCCUUUCUCCACCAGCAAACCCGGAUGCAGGUAAGGAAGCCCUCUCAGCUCAAGGAAUUCAGAUUGGACGUCAUUAGAAAAUGCUGCAUGGAAUAAUGGAAUCUCUUUAUAGCUUUCACCAACAAAUAUCCCUAAUCCACACCAAUCAGCACCAUGUGGACCCACAGCAACCUUCCCCCAGCACUUCUUCUCCUGUGAGUAACCCACCUGAUUUGGCUUCCCAUAACACCUCUCCCAUCUCCAACAAGGAGCUUUUUGUUCCACCUCCUGAGCCUCAUGAUGGGGAUUUAGGUUCAUGUGCACAGUUUCUAUUAAAUUGUUCUUUAGUGUUUGAUUUACAUCCCUCUAGUUAUCCUUCAGAGAAAGCCAAGAUAGUUUAUGUCAUCAAUCUGUUACAAGCCGAGGGGCCAAUUAAGCUACAGCGCUCUGGCAUAACUCCUCUCCAGUGUUGUUGUCUUUUGAUGUUUUUCCUAGGGAGCUCAGCAACAUCUUUGACCAACCAGUUAAAGGGCGGGAGGCAUCUAAGAGGCUCUUAGCCAUUACUCAGGGAUCCCAGUCAGUAGCCUCCUACUCCAUAGAUUUUCAUAUUUUGGCCAAUGAGUGUGGGUGGGAUGAGGCUGCUCUCAAGGGGAUUUUUAUGAAGGGGCUUAAUGAACAGCUAAAAGAUGAGUUAGCAUCCAGGGAUGAGCCUCCCACCCUCGAGGAGUUGAUCUCUUUGUCGAUUAGACUCAGGGGGAGAGAGAGAGAGAGCGCAAGUGGUCAGGGCUCGUAGGUUGGCGGAGGAUAACAAUCCUCACAUCGAUUGGAAAAACUCCAUCUCCAGCUGGAGCCUGCAUUGCCACUCUCACUGCCUCCUGUCUGCCAAUCCAGUCGCAGUUAGCCACAACUCACCCCCUUCACCUCCAGACCUCAGCAGUGUCCUCCCUGAGUACCAUGACCUUGCCUGUGUUCAAUAAAGACUUGGCACUAUCCUUACCCACCCACUGCCCAUAUGACUGUGCCAUCGAUAACCCUCCUGGAGCUCCUCUCUCCACUAGCUGUCUGUACAACCUGUCUCGACCUGAAAAGGAGGCCAUAGAGGCCUACAUCCAGGACUCUCUGGCUACAGGACUUAUCUGCUCCUCCUCCUCUCCCCUGGGGGCUGGGUUGUUCUUUGUGAAAAAGAAGGACUCAUCCUUGUGUCCCUGUAUAGUCUUCCGAAGACUCAAUGACAUAACUGUGAAGAACAAGACACCUCCUUUGAGCCCCUCUGCCAUGCUCAAGUCUUCACCAAACUGGACCUCUGCAAUGCCUAUCACCUCAUCCGGAUUAGAGAGGGAGAUGAGUGGAAAAAGGCCUUCAACACACCUCUGAGCCAUUUUGAAUAUCUGGUCAUGCCCUUUGGCCUUACCAAUGCCCCAGCUGUUUUCCAGACCCUCAUGAACAACAUCCUCCGAGACAUGCUCAACUGCUUUGUUUUCGUCUACCUGGACGACAUAUUAAUCUUCUCCAGAUCCCUGGAGGAACACUCUCAACAUGUCCGUCUGGUCCUUCAUUUUCUGGAGAACCACCUCUUAGUCAAACCCAAGAAGGGUGAGUUUCAUUCCACCUCUGUCAGUUUCCUAGGGUACAUCAUUGCACAAGGACAACUCAAACCGGACCCCUUACAGAUCCAAGCAGUAGCUAAUUGGCCCAUACUCACCACUUGCAAGGAGCUUCAGCGCUUCCUGGGAUUUGCCAACUUUCACAGGAGUUUUAUCAGAGAUUAUAGCAAAUUGGCAUGCCCCCUCACCUGUCUCACCUCCACCAGCACCCCUUACCUGUGGACCCCUGAAGCUGACACCGCAUUCACUCAAGUCUCUGUUUACCAGUGCCCCAGUUCUCAAGUAUCCUGACCCCAGUCUCCAGUUUUUGGUGGAGGUAGAUGCCUCUGACACAGGAGUGGGAGCCAUCCUUUCACAGUGGAGUCCCGAGUCCAAUAAGCUUCACCCUUGUGCCUACAUUUCAUGCCACCUGUCCCCCUCUGAAAGGAAUUAUGAUGUCGGAAACUGAGAGUUGCUGGCAGUUGUGUGGGCUCUACAGCAAUGGAGGCACUGGCUGGAAGGAUCUGGGACUCCCUUCAUCAUCUGGACCGGCCAUAAAAACUUAGCCUAUCUUCAUUCAGCCAAACGUCUCAACCCCCACCAAGCCCGUUGGUCCCUUUUCCUAAGCUGCUUCAACUUCACCCUCUCCUACCACCCUGGCACUCGGAAUAUCAAACCAGAUGCCCUCUCUCACCUCCAUUCUCCCUUCACCUGCUCCAAAGUUCUGGACCCCAUCCUCCCUCCCUCUUGCAUAGUCGGAGCAGCCUCCUGGGUGAUCCAACAGGUAGUGCUGGAGGCUCAAAAGAGGCAACCUGACCCCGAGCCCGGUCCCUCUGGAUGUCUCUUUGUGCCCGACUCCGUCCGAUCCCAGGUACUCCAGUGGGGGCCCUUCUGCAAGCUUACCUGUCACCUGUACUCUCUUGUUUCUCAAGAAGCACUUCUGGUGGCCCAGUAUGACCAAGGACACCCGGGAGUAUGUGAUAGCCUGCUCUGUCUGUGCCAGAGGUAAAACCUCUCACCAACCCCCUGCUGGUCUGCUGCGCCAGCUACCCAUUCCACAUCGCCCCUGGUCUCAUAUUAGAGUAAAUUUUAUCACCGGCCUGCCUCCCUCAGAAGGUAAUACAGUUAUUCUCACAGUCAUUGAUAGUUUCUCCAAAGCAGCAUUUCUUCAAAAUGCCUUUUGCUCUAGAGACUGCCAACCUCCUCGUGCUCCACGUGUAUAGAUUGCAUGGUAUCCCCAGUGACAUUGUUUCUAACAGAGGCUCCCAGUUCUCCUAAAGUCUGGAGGGAAUUCUGCAAGGCUGUGGGCGCAGCAGCCAGCCUCUUGUCUGGGUACGACCCACAGACCAACGGCCAGACAGAGCGGGCUAAUCAGAAUUUAGAGUCUGCCCUGCAGUGUGUCACCGCUCACUAUCCAGCCUAAUGGAGUACUCAUUUCGCCUGGAUCGAAUAUGCCCACAACUCCCUCACCUGCUCAGCCACAGGUAUGUCACCUUUUAUGGCCUGUAAUGGUUUUCAACCCCCUCUUGUUCCCAGAUAAGGAGCUAAAAGUGGCUGUUCCCUCAGUUAAAGAACACAAGUCGGAUUUGGGGUGUGUGGAGGGAGGUCCGGGCGGCACCUCACAAGGUCGGCGGAAAGGAACAAGUGGCUGGCUGACCUUCAUCAUUCUCCUGCCCCUGAGUACAAACUGGGACAGCAUUUUCUGUCUCCAGGGUGUUGGAUGUCAGACCCCAUGGCCGGGGUUUCCAAUACCUGGUAGACUGGGAGGGGUAUGGACCUGAGGAACGAUCAUGGAUCUCCCAAAGCUCAUCUUGGACAAUUCCCUGCCCAGUGACUUAUUUGGAGCACCCUGAGAAGCCUGGUCAGAUGCAGGGUGGCGUCCGUUAAGGGGGAGGGGACUGGCUCCUCCUGCACCUCCACACCUGCAUCUCAUCACCUAAUCACCACCUGCUUUUAGGCUCAGCUCUGAAAACUACUCAUCGCCAUAUUAUUACCGCUCUCACAGUGGUAUCACGGCCAACUCUUUCUAAUACUGAGAACUUAGCGUGUUCUGGUGAAUGUUUUUGCAAAUUACUAAUCCCUCUCCUGUCCUCCUUUCUCCACCAGUGCCUCCUCAAUCCACCAGUGUCAGCCCAACCUCUGCUUCAACUGCCACUCUCUCGAUCCUGAACCAGCCACCUGCCGUCUCCUUCAGCACACACACACUGCCUCACCCCUCACAACGGAUCCCCCUGCACUCUUUGGACCCAGGACCUCACACCAUCCUUCAUUGUUCAUUUCAAUAAAAUCACUUAAAGCUUCUUCUGUCUACGCUACCUGCU